GGUGUUUCCAAGUUGGCAAAAGACAAGUUGCUUGUGUUAAAUAUAAAAAUAUUUGUUGAAAUCGGAACGGCGAAAAAUAGAUCCAGAAAAUAAUUUAAUGCAAGAAAAGAAAAGAUAAGAAAAGAACACACCGAUAUUUACGUGGUUCGGCCAACGACCUACGUCCACAGACGAAGACGGAGCAAAUACUUUAUUAAUGUCGAAAAGGCGGAGUACAAGAAAAUCUCUCAAAAGACUAAAAAACUUAAUUAGAUCCGAAACGCCGCAACCAGCAAACUCCAAAACGGCUUCUCUCUCAACCC
rnacentral:lncRNA from 1 species